rnacentral:rRNA from 1 species
GGCGUAAGCCGGAAGGAGCUGUGCCGGUGUCCCAGAGUACCGUACCCUGGUUUGGGUGCGGGAAGUUGGGAGUCACCAACUUCCAAGACUAAAUACGUCUCAAGACCGAUAGCGCACUAGUACGGUGACGGAAAGCUGAAAAGUACCCCGGGAGGGGGGUGAAAAGCGCCUGAAACCAGACGGUUACAGACGUGUGCAGCCCGGAAGGGUAGAUCCCUCCCAAAGGAAACCGCCGCGAGGCGGGAGUACGAGGGAGGGGGACCAGGGUUGCACGUUCCGUCUAGAAACACGGGCCGGGGAGUUCACGGCUGUGGCGAGCCUAAGGGUUUUAAGCCCGCAGGCGUAGGGAAACCGACAUGCGCGCAGCUGGGCUUAAGCCUAGCGAGGCGCGGAGUCUGAAAGGGCUUGGAGUCACGGCCGUGAGGCUAGAAACCGGGCGAUCUAGCCCUGGGCAGGGCGAAGCCAGGCGAAAGCCUGGUGGAGGCCCGAAAGGGUGCUGACGUGCAAUUCGUUCCCCAGACCUGGGGCUAGGGGCUAAAGACCAAUCUAGCCCGGUGAUAGCUAGUUCCCUCCGAAGUGGGUCGCAGCCCAGCCCCGGGCGAGGCGGCCGGUGGGGUAGAGCACUGAUUGGAAGGCUAAGGGGUCGAAAGGCUCCACCUUCCUUUCAAACUCCGAAUCCAUCGGCGCCGUAGACCCCGGGAGGCGGGUUACGGGGGGUAAGCUCCCGGACCGAGAGGGGGACAACCCAGACUGAGGUUAAGGCCCCAAAGUGCUGGCUAAAUGUCAAACUAAAGGGCGUCGUCAGCCUUAGACAGCGGGGAGGUAGGCUUAGAAGCAGCCAUCCUUUAAAGAGUGCGUAACAGCUCACCCGCCGAGGCUGACGGCCCCGAAAAUGGACGGGACUAAGCCAGCCGCCGAUACCUCAGGGCGCAGCUUACGCUGCGUCGGUAGGAGGGCGUCCCGGCUGGGUAGAAGCUGGGCCGUGAGGUCCAGUGGACCGGCCGGGAGUGCAGAUCCCGGUGGUAGUAACAGCAAAGAGGGGUGAGAAUCCCCUCCGCCGAAGGGGCCAGGGUUCCCCGGCAACGGUCGUCAGCCGGGGGUAAGCCGGUCCUAAGGCGUGGCUUAACCGACCACGCCGAAAGGGAAGCCGGUUAAAAUUCCGGCGCCACGGAGGUACAACCGCGGCGACGCAGGCCCAACGCCUGACGCUUCGGGGUAGGCUGAGCAAGGCUGUCGCCUUGUUUAACCGUAUAAGCCUGGGGAGUGCCGUAAUGGCGAGAACCAGGUGAAGGCGGGAAUAGCCGCCCGUUUAGGGCGGUUCAGCCGAUCCCUGGAGCCAGUGAAAAGGGCGUUGGGAAGGAUCCUCCGUGACCGUACCUAGAACCGACACAGGUGCCCCUAGGCGAGGAACCUAAGGCGUGUCGGGGGUAAGCCAGGGCGAGGGAACUCGGCAAAUUGGCCCCGUACCUUCGGUAGAAGGGGUGCCUGCUGUCUUGGCCUCGUGCUGGGACAGCAGGUCGCAGUAGCAAGGGGGUCCCGACUGUUUAAUAAAAACACAGGAAGCCGCAAGCCCGAAAGGGUGUGAACGGCUUCUGAAUCCUGGCCAGUACAGGUACCUGAAACCCGGGUUCAACCGGGCUAAGGGCCUGCAAACGCCGGGAGUAACUCUGACUCUCGAGUUAGGGAGUCGUUAAACUCGGCUAUAUGCGGGGAAGGGGUAGGCUCAACCCCCCGAGUAGGGAAAAGUGGUUGAGUCUGUGACUCUGAUCCGCAGGGAACCACCCUCAAGAAAACAUAAGGCUUAAUACCAUGGGUAAAAGCCUAAGUUCCGGUGGAGCUGUUGCUGUACGAAUUUUCCGAUUUGAUGGAUCCGAAGAGGCUUCCGAAGCGGCGCAAAUACUUGCACUAUUACAUUGUAGGCUUCGUUGACGGUGAAGGGUGCUUUUCAGUGUCCAUUAAAAAGCAGAAUGACACAAGAUUCGGGUGGGUCAUUGAUCCGAUAUUUCACAUCACGCAAAGCAAAGAGCACGGCGCUGUCCUAGAGAUAAUUAAAAGAGUUUUCAAUUGUGGCCGCAUAAUACCAAAGCCUGGACAAGAGGAUGCCGUUCUUCAAUAUGUUGUGGACUCGCGUCGACAUUUAGCUGAGGUAAUAAUACCCUUCUUUAACAAGUACAAGCCCAUCAUUAAACAAAGAGAGUUUGAGGCCUUCAAGGAAAUCGUCCAAAGGCUUGAGAAGGGCGAGCACCGCAACCUUAAGAGUUUCAUAAGACUUCUUGAGAGGGCGUAUGAAAUGUCCAGCGACAGAAAAUAUUCACUGGAUGAGAUUAUAUCUGAGGUUAAAAGGAGGGUGGGCGCCUCAGAGACCAUACGCCGAGCACCGCCUCGAGGGCGGUGAAGAUAUGGUCCAGCACCCGUAGCGGGUGUUGCUCAAGGUAGCCAAAUGCCUUGUCGGGUAAGUUCCGACGUGCAUGAAUGGAUCAACGAGGGCCCCGCUGUCCCCGCCUGGCACCCGGUGAACCCACGUAACGUGGACGAACAGUCCACGAACCCCCAGCGGGAAAAGAAGACCCCGUGGAGCUUUACUGCAGCCUGCCGCUGGAACAUGGCUGCGGAUGCAGAGUGUAGACGGGAGCCGUCGAUCCCGGCUUCUCCGGGAGCCGGGGGAGGCGCCAAUGGAACACCGUCCUUCCGCAACCGUGUUUCUCACCGGCGCCUAGGGCGCUGGAACAACGGCAGGUGGGCAGUUUGGCUGGGGCGGCACGCCCUUGAAAAGAUAUCAAGGGCGCCCUAAGGUCGGCUCAGACGGGACAGAAACCCGUCGUAGAGUGCAAGGGCAAAAGCCGGCCUGACUGGAUCCUCCAAAGUGAGGGAUCCAGGGGCGAAAGCCGGGCCUAGCGAUCAUCCGUGUCCCCCUUGGUGGGGGCCGGAUGUGUCAGAAAAGUUACCCCGGGGAUAACAGGCUCGUCGCGGGCGAGAGUCCCCAUCGACCCCGCGGCUUGGUACCUCGAUGUCGGCUCUUCCCAUCCUGGCCCUGCAUAAGGGGCCAAGGGUGAGGCUGCUCGCCUAUUAAAGGGGAACGUGAGCUGGGUUUAGACCGUCGUGAGACAGGUCGGACUUUAUCUGCUGGGGGUGCUGGCUGCCUGAGGGGAAAGGGUCCCUAGUACGAGAGGAACGGGACGCUGUGGCCUCUAGUUUACCGGUUGUCCGAUAGGGCAGACGCCGGGCAGCCACGCCGCUGGGGAUAAGGGCUGAAAGCAUCUAAGCCCGAAGCCCCUCCCGAAAAUAGGCAGCCAAUCCCCGACAUAUGGCGGGGCUGGCAACAGCCCAUUGCCAAAAGGGGACGAGGGCUCCCGUAGAAGACGGGUUUGAUGGAGCCGGGGUGUACGCUGGAAGGCUUCGGCCGACCAGCUCAGCCCGCGGCCCCCAACCGCCCGAGAUGUCGGGCGC